GAUCCCUCCGCCAGCGCGCUCUCUUCCUCUUCCCCCCCCUACUCGGCGCGGGGCGGGGCCGCGGGGGAGCCGCCGCAGCGGGGCUCGUGCCCGGCGCGCGCUCACGGCCGUUGCGGAGGGGCGCGAGCGGGCCCAACAGCUGCGCCGCCUCGGCUCAGGGCGGGGGGCGGCUGAGGGGGGAGCCACAGGGAGCAGGAAGAGAGCAGCGGGAGCAGCCCCAGGGCUCCUCUGGGAAAAAGACUAACAGCACUAAAAGCGUGUGGAGGAGCUUCAUAGUUUCUGCAGCUUAUGUUUUGUCAAGCUAAAUGAGCUGAAAUCUGACUGGAAUCUUCCUCCCACCACUCCCCCUGUCCCCAGGAUGGAUCUCACUCAGGAGUCUGGCAAGAACUGGAAAGAAGGGGAAAUCCUUCUGUGGCAUGAAGAAUGAAGUGGAAAUUCCAAAACAAUUCUUGAAGAUUUCUUCCCCAUGAGUGUGUCAGCUUCAAUGUAACUGAAAUUUCCAUCAACUUUGAGGGAACUUUCCGACUAAGAACUCAGCCAUAUGGAGAGAAAUACUACUAGUAAAUGCCAGGAAUGCCUUGAAGCCCACUAGAUACCUUGCAGCAUGCUGCAGACUUUUACCAGUUUUAGCAGAGUGCAUGCAGAAGACGCUUCUUCUCCUUGUGUGAUACAAAUGCUUGGACCAGGCUACAUGGCUUUUUUUGUUGACAAGAUCUACAACCCUUUGUGUAGUCAUCAGCAACGUGCUAUGGCUGGAAGGUGGAAGACACUUCUGACCUCCAAAAUGCCAGGGAAGCUCUUCCACGUGUAGUCCAAUUACAGGUCAUGUCUUAAUUUGUAAUUAAAAGUGACGAGUCACGAGGGAACAUUUCCCAGCUUUGUGAAUGCUUGACUGAGAUCAGUUACUGGCUGAAAAAUUAGACCAAGAGUAACCUUUGCAAAAAAGAAUUCCUCAUGAGGAAAAUAAAACACUUCAAAACACUCAGAACUAUUAUAACAGGAGUUAGCUUCAACUCAAUGUAUUUCUGGAAUUUAGAUUUAAACUUGUCCAUGAUUAUACACAUCUUUAAACUUAUAGACUGGAAUAUGGCAACAGCAUAAAGCAGUGAAAGCACUGAUGUUGGAAAUGUGUCUGAUUUAUAAAACAGCCUAGUGUCACAACCGCAGGGUGAACUACUUACUCAUUUGUUCCAAUCUUGGCCUCUGGUUGUAAUUGCAUGCGUGCCAGCUUCCACACCUUUCUCCUUCCACUCUCAUGACUGCCAGCUUCAGUCAGAAGAAUUCUUGGACAAUUUAAAGAACCAUUUCUUAAUUUUCCAUUGAAACAACUAGAAGAUACCACUUUGUCUAAACCUCGUAUCUUCAAUUGAGAUAAAGCUUCAGCAAAGUGCUCUCUGGUUUAGGAUGGAGUUUCUUAUCAAGACAGGUGAGAGAUCCUAUCUUUUUGGUAAAAACGCAUUCCAGAGCUGUAGAAAAAAAACCUUUCCUGAUUUAGUGCAGGGAGUUUGAACAGCCGUGGCUCAGAUCUUUUGUGUAACCCAACUGCAAAGCUAUUGACUGUAUUUGGCCGGGUGUUUCCUGCUGGACCUAUCGUACAUUGCAGAAACAAGUAACAGCUGAAGUGAGGCCGGAACCCUGGUAUAAUGAUUGCUGCUUUACAGGUCCUUGAAUUCUUCUGAACAUAUGACAUAAAUUGUUUUAAAAUGUUAGUCUAUAGCAAUCUUUUUAAUUGUUAUCAUUCUUAAAUCUUCAUUUUCCAGCUCUGGUGCAUGUCAGAGGUUUGUACAUGUAUGUGUAUGUCAGGUUUUGUCCCUGGCACAAUUUCCCAAGCCAUCAGUUUUGCCCUAUUGUCUUAACAAUAUCGGUCGUCUAUAGAGAGGAUGGGAAAAUGGAGAAGGAAGAGGUUGUGAGAGAAAAGGCUUAUUGUGAUCUGUCAUUCUCAGAGUUGAUCUUUAGUUGUAUAGUCUCCUAUCAAAUCAUUUUAUGUACUCAGAUAGUAACAAUUGCAGUAACCAUCAUAACUGAAUUUGUUAAUUUCCGAGGAUUUCCAUUUCUGUCACACACAGGGGACAAGAGGAAGAAUAAAGAACAUGCGUAUGUUCUGGGGUGGUCAAUUAGUUUCAGCAUUUUGCUCCGGGUUCCUAAGCACCUCACACCCGUACUGCCUGUUUCAUGCUCCAUAGGUAGGGCUUCCCUUGCUACCUUUCAUGGCUCAGUGAAAGCAUCUACUUCAAAAUGAAGCAGACAAGGCCUUCUCUUUUUCUUUUUUUUUUUUUUUUUUUUUUAAUUUAUUAGCUUGCUCAUGGCUGCAAAGCUCAGUGCCAGAAGCGACUGGAGUGUCAAACCUCACAGGCUUCACAUCAAACCAUAGAAUUUGCCUUGCCCUAGUUUGUCUUCCCUCUAUGAGUCACCUGAGACUGGGCAGAAAAAUCUAAACCAUUAAGAGGACUUUUAUAAUUCAAGAUGUACAGCUAUCACAGAAAAAUUAAUGGCAAAAACACUAGACCAAUUAUGAAAAUACUAUUAAAAUAUUUAAUGUGUGGAGAAAAUUCUUGUGAAAAGUAUACGUGUAUAUGUGUGAAUAAAUCCUAUUUUUGCUAAAUGAAAAAUAAAAUUUGCUUAAGGAAAAUAUAUGAAAUCAAGUGUAUGGAUAGAUUUUUGGAUAAAUAUAUGGAUAAAGUGUGCACAGUCUACACUUUGUGGCAAGUAUAUAAAUGAAAAAUAUUAAAAGGAAAUAAAUGUGUAGUCUUGUACAUUCUAGAAUCUUUUAUUUCCACAGAUUAUAAGGUAAAAGCACUAGGUGUUAGACUUCCUGCUUUUAACAUUAGAUAUGUUAAGAAGCAUUAUCAUUACAUAAAAAGCUUAAAAUAUGAAUUCUAAUGGCUCUUACAAAUAGAGGUUGAGUCAGCAGAGCCAGGUAGUUUCUUAUUUAAUGAAUUAGUCCAUUCAUUUUUAGUAAAAAUAUUCAUCAUUUCUGACAUUUUUAUUGGAGAAGACAGUUGAAAAAUAAGACAGGAUAAAAGAGAACAUGGGCAAUGUUAGAAACGUUUAUGUGUCUCUAUUAAACCCUUCUUUUGGACUCAUACACAAAUUCAAGAGAAGGAGCUAAGUUGCCAUCCAGACCCCAUGCUAAUGGUGGAAAACAGUUUGGGUUUCCCCUUCAGCAUCCCAACAAAGGGAAGCUGUGGGUAAGCCAGCAUUACAGGAGAAAUGUACAUGCAGCAGGACUCUCAUAAUGGCUUGCUUUGCCUUGGGGCAAAAAGGAAAGAGUGGUUGGAUGGUGACAUUCCCAAAUCUGUUCCUGCCCGGCUUUUGGAAGAGGAAUGGCGUCUUAUACAAGUUGAACUCUAGUGAGUCAGCCUUACAUUUGCACAUAGCAUUCAAGUCACAAGAGAAAAGACAAGCUUUAUAAAACAAAAGGAAAUAGCCUAAAUAGGAAGAUCUUUGUAAGUUCCUGUAGGGGUUCAAUAUCCCUAAGGGGGGAAGAAAUGAAGAUAACUCAAAUGAUUCCUUGUUUGACUUCAUGUACUUCUUCAGUGCAUUUGCUUUCCUUAGAACCAAUUUCAUUUCUAUUUCAUCUUUUACUAAAGUACAGUGAAGUCACUAAGCUGUACAAUAUUUGAAAAAAAAAAAUCAAUAAAUUUAAAAAAAAUGAUUAGAAUUUAAAGUUUUUGCCUUUUAUUCAAAAGUCACAUUUAAGUCUGCCUGUUAGACCGAAGAAUAUUACUAGGGAAAAAAUGAGAAUGUUCACAUUACAUUAGGUGCCAGAGGCAGACUCUGUUGUACAAACUUACUGAUAUUGGUAAACAGCUUAAUUAAACAUUUUAUGUAAGGACUGCUGAGUACGAAGCACUUUUCCUAAAUGCAUGUUACAUGGUGUACAUAAACGCCCUCACAUCUGCUAGAACAUA